GCCCAUUAGCUCAGUUGGUUAGAGCAUCGUGCUGAUAACGUGGGUUCGAUCUCCCCAUGGGCCAUUUUUAAGGGAUCGGUGGAAGGAUGGUCUAAACCGUUGGUUUUUGACUGCUACGACCCAGGUUCAAUCCCUGCAUUGGGCA